rnacentral:rRNA from 1 species
UACAGAGGUCUCAAGCGUUGUUCGGAUUCAUUGGGCGUAAAGGGCGCGUAGGCUGCGGGGCAAGUCUGGUGUGAAAUCUCAGAGCUCAACUCUGAAACUGCACUCGAUACUGCUUUGCUUGAGGACUGGAGAGGAGAUUGGAAUUCACGGUGUAGCAGUGAAAUGCGUAGAUAUCGUGAGGAAGACCAGUGGCGAAGGCGGAUCUCUGGACAGUUCCUGACGCUGAGGCGCGAAGGCCAGGGGAGCAAACGGG